UACGGUCAUAUGAUAUUGAAACACCGGUUCUCGUACGAUCACCGAAGUUAAGCAAAGUCUUGCCCAGUUAGUAACAAGGUGGGUGACAAUUUAGGAAUACCAGGUGCUGUAAG